AUUGAACGCUGGCGGCAUGCCUAACACAUGCAAGUCGAACGAGUGGCGGACGGGUGAGUAGUGUCGUGGAAACUGCCUGAUCUAGCGGUCUGACUACUGUAACCGGUAGCUAAUACUGCAUACCAUCGGAUCUGCCCACAGUGGAUUGGCUAGUAGGUGGGGUAAAGGCUCACCUAGGCGACGAUCCCUACCUAGGCUGAGAGGAUGACCAGCCACACUGGAACUGAGACACGGUCCAGACUCCUACGUGAGGCAGCAGUGGGGAAUAUUGGACAAUGGGCGAAAGCCUGAUCCAGCCAUGCCGCGUGUAUGAAGAAGGUCUUCGGGUUGUAAAGUACUUUCAGUGGGGAGGCGUUACCCGCAGAAUAAGCACCGGCUAACUCCGUGCCAGCCGCCGCGGUAAUAC
rnacentral:rRNA from 1 species